rnacentral:rRNA from 1 species
CAACCCUGACCCAGCAACGCCGCGUGAAGGAAGAAGGCUUUCGGGUUGUAAACUUCUUUGACCAGGGACGAAACAAAUGACGGUACCUGGAAAACAAGCCACGGCUAACUACGUGCCAGCAGCCGCGGUAAUACGUAGGUGGCAAGCGUUGUCCGGAUUUACUGGGUGUAAAGGGCGCGUAGGCGGGGAUACAAGUCAGAUGUGAAAUCUGGGGGCUUAACCCUCAAACUGCAUUUGAAACUGUAUUUCUUGAGUAUCGGAGAGGCAGGCGGAAUUCCUAGUGUAGCGGUGAAAUGCGUAGAUAUUAGGAGGAACACCAGUGGCGAAAGCGGCCUGUUGGACACAACUGACCUUANGCGCAAAACCUGGGGAGCCAACNGGAUUAGAUCCCCUGGA